AUUGAACGCUGGCGGCAGGCCUAACACAUGCAAGUCGAACGAGUGGCGGACGCGUGAGUAAUGUGCGGGAAACUUCCUGCUGGAGGGGGGUAUAUACUGGAAACGGUAGCUCAAAUCCCAUACCAUCAGAUGUGCCCAGAUGGGGUGAGCUUGUUGGUGGGGUAACGGCUCACCAAGGCGACGAUCCCUAGCUGGUCUGAGAGGAUGACCAGCCACACUGGAACUGAGACACGGUCCAGACUCCUACGGGAGGCAGCAGUGGGGAAUAUUGCACAAUGGGGGAAACCCUGAUGCAGCCAGGCCGCGUGUAUGAAGAAGGCCUUCGGGUUGUAAAGUACUUUCAGCGAGGAGGCGUUACCCGCAGAAGAAGCACCGGCUAACUCCGUGCCAGCAGCCGCGGUAAUAC
rnacentral:rRNA from 1 species